CUUUGGAGGAGUUGGCACCUUAGAGAAGAUAGCCUGCGAAACAACGGAAGGGAGACAAUUAGCAGUUCCGUGCAGUUCCUGAUAAAAUAUGAUAAGGAACUAAGAACUGCAGCGGAGGCAAGGGAUGCUACUGAGGGCAAGGAAAAAUUGAAAGAAGGGAGUUCAGAAAGCCGUAGUACUGAUUUACCUGCGGCCAAAUGGAUGCCGCCGCCGCGAGAAGUGGCCAAAAUCAACACUGACGCUGCUUUCCUUGAGGAAACUGGGGAAAGUGCGGCGGGUGUGGUUGGUCGAGACUAUCGUGGCUUUGUCUUCCUGUCUUUGUGCAAAAGGCUCCCACGCUGCCACAGCGCCGAGGAGGCUGAAGCUUGA
rnacentral:rRNA from 1 species